rnacentral:miRNA from 1 species
CUUAUAAUUUGGGACGGAGAGAGU